GGCUGGGGCAGCGGGCUGCUACUGGGCUCAAGUUAGACCCGGGCUGAAAGGUUCGAGGGACGAAGAUUUCUGAUUUUACUCUGAAGGUCAGAAAGUUUCACCAGAACCACGAGAUGUUCGGUCCAAACACAGAAAACAGAUCAAAAUAACUGACUCAUCAUUUCACAUUUUGACUGAUUUAUUGAUGUUCAUCUGCAUUUAAAGAGAAAUAUUUAUACCAAAGUAUAUUAAUGCCAAAGUAUAUUAAUGCCAAGGUAAUAAUUCUAGUUGUGAACGACACGUUCAGUAAGAAACAUCAGACCUGGUAGAUUAUUCUCGCUCACAUUUCCGUGUUUUAAACAUACAAUAUAUCUGCAACAAGUUAGUCGAUGAACUAUUAGGUCCGACUAAGAUUUUUUUAUUUUUACUUAACAGAAUAAAGUCUAAUAAAUUUUCGACAUGUGUUUGACAUCAUUUACACUAGAAAGAGAAUAAAGUUGUCCGAAAAUAAAGUUGUUCAAAAAAGUCAUAAUACGAAAAUAAAGUCAUAAUAAUUUUAAAGUCGUAAUAAUAUGAGAAUAAAAUAAUAUGAGCACAAACUCAGAAUAAUACAAGAACAAUUGUAAUAAGUGCAUAAAGUUGUAAAAUACGAAAAUAGUUUGACAACGUCUUGAUCAUACGAGAGUAAAACAGCAAUUUCCUGAGAACUUCAAAAAAAAAAAGAAUUACAAAUUAAAAUGAGCAAUGUUUAGUAUCUUAUACAUUUAUUCUUG